ACCCGCUGAAUUUAAGCAUAUUGAUAAGGGUAGGAAAAGAAAACAACAGUGAUUCUCACAGUAACUGCGAGUGAAGUGAGAAAAGCCCCAACGUUAAAAAGCUAUAUCUGUAACAGGAUAUCGCAUUGUAACGUAUAGAUGUGUUCUCAAGGUGAAAGCUAGUGUCAAAGUUACAUAGAGUGGUACGCCAUAGAGGGUGAGAGCCCCGUGUAUGACACUUGCAUUAAUUUUGCCAAGUAGACACAAUCUAAGAGUCGUGUUGUUUGGGAAUGCAACACAAAGUAGGUGGUAAACUUCACCUAAGGCUAAAUACGGACACGAGACCGAUAGCAAACAAGUACCGUGAGGGAAAGUUGAAAAGUACUCUGAAAAGACAGUGAAAAGCACGUGAAACUGUUCAUGGGGAAGCAGACGGUAGAAUCGAAGCAUGCUAUUGAUAUUGUACUAGUCAUUGGUGAGUCCCGCUUAUACUAGUGCUCCUCAAUAGUGUAGCGCGCUGAGCUUGUCGUGGUUAGUGUGUGUGAAAGCACGCACUGUAAAUGUACGCCUUAGUUGUCAGUGUGAGGAAGAAGGUAUUGAAUCAUCGAUGCCAGCAUUUCUUGCAAGUCAAUUAAAGGUAUGAGUGCAUAACAUGACAAUGGCCAAUAGGAAAGGCAACUUGUGGAAGUGAUUUAGCAUUUGCUAUAAUGGUGCGUUGUUAAACCACUGCUGUAGUUGAUGUUGGAUUGCCAAAUGAGUUUAUUCUCAGCGAGAUAUGCUGCUGUCUGACCCGUUUUGAAACACGGACCAAGGAGGCUAACGUAUACGCGAGUCGAGGGGAUAUGCCGUUAGUGGCGUUAUAUUUUAAAACCCUAUGGCGUAACGAAAGUGAAAAGCAAUAUCUUCACAUGAGAUGAUGUUGGUGAAGAGCAUUGCUGGCCAGUUGAGUUCAUUGGAACUAUGAUUGAGCAGGAGCGUAUGCGAUAGGACCCGAAAGAUGGUGAACUAUGCCUGAGUAGGGCAAAGUCAGAGGAAACUCUGAUGGAGGCUCGAAGCGGUUCUGACGUGCAAUUCGAUCGUCAAACUUGGGUAUAGGGGCGAAAGACUAAUCGAACCAUCUAGUAGCUGGUUCCCUCCGAAAUAUCCCUCAGGAUAGCUGGAGCCUGAUCCAAAAGCAGUUUCAUCGGGUAGAGCGAAUGAUUAUAGGUAUUGGGAUCAUAACAGAUCCUAACCUCUUCUCAAACUGCGAACCGGUGAGAAAAGUAGCGUUGCUUAAUUGAACGCUGCUGGCUUAGAAUGCUAGGGUUCCAAGUGGGCCGUUUCUGGUAAGCAGAACUGGCGAUGCGGGAUGAACCGAGAGCCAGGUUAAGGUGCCUAAAUAGACGCCAAAGGACACCACUAAAGGAGUUGGUCGAUGAAGACAGCAGGACGGUGGCCCUGAAAGUAGGAAUCCGCUAAGGAGUGUCUAACAACUCACCUGCCGAAUCGACUGGCCCUGAAGAUGGAUGGCGCUUAAGCGUUUUACCGAUACCUGGCCAUCAGCAUUAGUGUGUGAGAAAUGUUGAUGGGUAGGAGGGCGCAAUGAUAGCGGCGAAGAGUAUAGCGUAAGCUUGCUUGGAGCUGUCAUUGGUGCGGAUCUUGGUGGUAGUAGCAGUUUAUUCAAGUGAAACGCUUGAAGGCCGAAGUGGAGAAGGGUUCCGCGUAAACAUCAUUUGAACGCGGGUUAGUCGGUCCUAAGUGGCAGCUUACGUGCUGAGAUAUACAAAGGGGAAGUGUGAUAUGUAUGCAACUCUAUAUGUAACAGUGUAGUUUUCUGCAUAUUGCUCUCUCAUGCCGCGAAAGGGAAUCAGGUUAAUAAUCCUGAACCGAGUCACGGAUAGUUUGUAUGAUGUGUUUAAGUAAGUGAUGUUGACACGCCUUUAGGGGUGUUGAUAUUGCUCUUAUUUGCGUUGUACAGAUGCAGCGGUAACGCAAACGAACUCAGAGACAUCUUAGGCAGUCCUAGGAAGAGAUAUCUUUUCUAUUUAACGAAAUGACGCCCUGGAAUUGAGUUACUCAGAGAUAGGGCUGAGAUUUCGGAAGAGCAUCGCACUUAAUGGCGAUGUCUGGUGCGCUGUCUAAGGUCCUUGAAAAUCUGAGGGAGUGAAUGAUUUUCGUGCUCGGCCGUACCGUAAUCCGCAACAGGUCUCCAAGGUGAAUAGCCUCUGGCACUAGAACAAUGUGGGUAAGGGAAGUCGGCAAAAUAGAUUCGUAACUUCGGGAUAAGGAUUGGCUCUAAGGGUUGGGCUGGUCGGGCUAUUCGCUUAAUUCUUUGUGUGUUCGUUUUUGAGUCUAGCCACAAUUCUAUGCUGCUGCUGCUUCUUUUCCCUCGGGCAAAGGAGCUGUAUUGUGUGUGUAGGAUUGCUGCUGGGUUUGAUGACGAAUGAGCCAGGUUAGGUGGUUAGCUUGGUGCAUUAUGCAAUGUUACUCGCGUAAUGUUGUGUUAGUGCAUCCUUGCGGCUAGCUAAGAUCAACCGACUUAGAACUGUCACUGACUAGGGGAAUUCGACUGUUUAAUUAAAACAAAGCAUUGCGAUGGCUGGAAACGGUGUUGACGCAAUGUGAUUUCUGCCCAGUGCUCUGAAUGUCAAAGUGUGGAGACACAACCAAGCGCGGGUAAACGGCGGGUGUAACUAUGACUCUCUCAAGAUAGCCAAAUGCCUCGUCAUCUAAUUAGUGACGCGCAUGAAUGGAUCAACGAGAUUCCCACUGUCCCUACCUACCAUCUAGCGAACCCACAGUCAAGGGAACGGGCUUGACUGAGACAGCGGGGAAAGAAGACCCUGUUGAGCUUGACUCUAGUUUGAUAUGGUGAGGAGACAUGAGAGGUGUAGCAUAGGUGGGAGAUUGUUAGCUUCAAUGUUGGCAGUCGAUCCUGAAAUACCACCACUUUCAUUGUUUCCUCACUUAGUCGGUGAUAAGGGAAGUGCCCGAUGGAAGUGUAAACAUUAACACUACAUGCCUCGGGUUAAACCGAGUGUAUGUAGUGUCUUGGUGAGCAUGGAAGUCGGUGUCACGAAUAUGAAGUAUUGUAAGGCAAAUGGUGGUGCUAUGAUCACACACACUUAAUUGGUACUCAUCUUUCGGGGUGUUGUGGCUGGUUAUUUGUUGUGAGUGUGGUACACGUUAAGUGUUUGCUGACCCCAACUAUGUUUAUGCAGUGAUGUGUGAACGUAUGUGUGACCGAUGACAGUGUCAGAUGGGGAGUUUGGCUGGGGCGGUACACCCUCUAAAGUGCAACGAGGGUGUCCAAAGGUGAGCUCACCGUGGACAGAAACCACGGGUAGAGUAUAAGGGCAAAAGCUCGCUUGAUUUUGAUUUUCAGUAUGAAUACAAACCACGAAAGUGUGGCCUAGCGAUCCUUUAUUAUGACCUGAGAGUUUCAGGAUAGAGGUGUCAGAAAAGUUACCACAGGGAUAACUGGCUUGUGGCUGCCAAGCGAACAUAGCGACGUAGCUUUUUGAUCCUUCGAUGUCGGCUCUUCCUAUCAUUGCGCAGCAGCGUACGCAAAGUGUUGGAUUGUUCACCCAUUAACAGGGAACGUGAGCUGGGUUUAGAC
rnacentral:rRNA from 1 species